AUGGCAGAAUGCUUCAAUAAGGUGCUCAAGGGUGUACGUGCAUUACCCGUGACGGCAAUAGUUCAAUACACAUUUGACAAGAUGAAUGGAUACUUUUUGAAGUAUUCAAUGGAGACGGAUAAGCAGAUUGCUGGUGAGAACAAGGAUAAGCACAAGUACUAUUUCCCACCAAAGGUUGAAGAAUGGUUGGACUUUCAAUCACGAAAGGCAGACUCCCAAGAAGCUGUACUAUAUGACGACAACGAGUGGAAGUAUGAGGUGAAAGAGCCUGGAGGAACCACAAACGAUGGCCACCAACACGGAGGCCGCGCUUUCAAGGUCUCCCUAACACGGUGUGAUUGCAGCUGCAUGAGGCCAUCGUUGCUUCAUUUCCCAUGCUCGCACUUGUUAAAUGCAGCCCGUGUUAGGAAUGUGGAAGAUAUGAACAAGAGUGGAAGAUAUGAAACUCCGCAACAUAGACUACCUCUCAUAGUGAAUGCGAUUUGUACCUUGAGGAAUGCUCGUAGUGGACCAUCAUCAUUGCCUUUUCCAACCGGUGUUUCCUCCAGAAUAGACUGGCUCUCAUCAGCUACUUUCUUGAUCUCGGUGCGCUGCGGAUGA
rnacentral:rRNA from 1 species